rnacentral:lncRNA from 1 species
CUGGCUCCUCCUCCUUCACUUCUUCUGCUGCUAUGACGGCCUGGUCAUAGGGGUCUGCCCGGUUUUCUGGGGCCCCUUCCACACUAAAAACAUCCACGGCGUGCAGGUCUCUGUGCUCUUGGAAGCAGCUGUAAUACUUAUAUUUUUUCCCACAAAUGUCACACGUGUACCUAAAGUUGUACCCAGCACAGCAGGGCAGGGAUGGUG